rnacentral:rRNA from 1 species
AUGAACGCUGACAGAAUGCUUAACCCCUGCAAGUCCGCUUGAACUUCGGUUUGGGUGGCGGACGGGUGAGUAACGCGUAAAGAACUUGCCUCACAGAUAGGGACAACAUUUGGAAACGAAUGCUAAUACCUGAUAUUAUGAUUAUAUGGCAUCGUAUAAUUAUGAAAGCUAUAUGCGCUGUGAGAGAGCUUUGCGUCCCAUUAGCUAGUUGGAGAGGUAACGGCUCACCAAGGCGAUGAUGGGUAGCCGGCCUGAGAGGGUAAUCGGCCACAAGGGGACUGAGACACGGCCCUUACUCCUACGGGAGGCAGCAGUGGGGAAUAUUGGACAAUGGACCAAGAGUGUGAUCCAGCAAUUCUGUGUGCACGAUGAAGUUUUUCGGAAUGUAAAGUGCUUUCAGUUGAGAAGAAAAAAAUGACGGUACCAACAGAAGAAGUGACGGCUAAAUACGUG